rnacentral:rRNA from 1 species
GACGAACGCUGGCGGCGUGCCUAAUACAUGCAAGUCGAGCGGAUCGAUGGAAGCUUGCUUCCUGAGAUCAGCGGCGGACGGGUGAGUAACACGUGGGCAACCUGCCCCUAAGAUCGGGAUAACUUCGGGAAACCGGAGCUAAUACCGGAUAGGACUUUUCUUCACAUGAAGGGAAGUGGAAAGACGGUUUCGGCUGUCACUUAGGGAUGGGCCCGCGGCGCAUUAGCUAGUUGGUGAGGUAACGGCUCACCAAGGCGACGGUGCGUAGCCGACCUGGGAGGGUGAGCGGCCACACUGCGACUGAGACACGGCCCAGACUCCUACGGGAGGCAGCAGGAGGGAAUCGUCCGCAAUGGACGAAAGUCUGACGGAGCAACGCCGCGUGAGUGAAGAAGGUUUUCGGAUCGUAAAACUCUGUUGCCAGGGAAGAACAAGUACCAUAGUAACUGAUGGUACCUUGACGGUACCUGACCAGAAAGCCACGGCUAACUACGUGCCAGCCGCCGCGGUAACAC